AACGGGAAGAGCUCAAAUUUAUAAUCUGGCACCUUCGGUGUCCGAGUUGUAAUCUCUAGAAAUGUUUUCCGCGUUGGACCGCACACAAGUCUGUUGGAAUACAGCGGCAUAGUGGUGAGACCCCCGUAUAUGGUGCGGACGCCCAGCGCUUUGUGAUACAUUUUCGAAGAGUCGAGUUGUUUGGGAAUGCAGCUCAAAUUGGGUGGUAAAUUCCAUCUAAAGCUAAAUAUUGGCGAGAGACCGAUAGCGAACAAGUACCGUGAGGGAAAGAUGAAAAGCACUUUGGAAAGAGAGUUAACAGUACGUGAAAUUGUUGGAAGGGAAACGCUUGAAGUCAGACUUGCUUGCCGAGCAAUCGGUUUGCAGGCCAGCAUCAGUUUUCCGGGAUGGAUAAUGGUAGAGAGAAGGUAGCAGUUUCGGCUGUGUUAUAGCUCUCUGCUGGAUACAUCUUGGGGGACUGAGGAACGCAGUGUGCCUUUGGCGGGGGUUUCGACCUCUUCACACUUAGGAUGCUGGUGGAAU
rnacentral:rRNA from 1 species